GAAAGUGAAGGAAACUCCGCUUUCCGAGGGAGGAUGGGUUAGGUUCCUAUAUCAGGGCCGGCCCCGCACUCCCGGGGCGUCUCUAUCUCAUUGCGAGAGGAGGCGCACCUAGAGCGUACACGCUGAUACCCGAAAGAUGGUGAACUAUGCCUGGCCAGGACGAAGCCAGGGGAAACCCUGGUGGAGGUCCGCAGCGAUUCUGACGUGCAAAUCGAUCGUCGGAGCUGGGUUUAGGGGCGAAAGACCAAUCGAACCAUCUAGUAGCUGGUUCCCUCUGAAGUUUCCCUCAGGAUAGCUUGCGCUCGGAAACAACGAGUCUCAUCCGGUAGAGCGAAUGAUUAGAGGCCUUGGGGUCGAAACGACCUCAACCUAUUCUCAAACUCCAAAUAGAUGUAGAACCCCGGCUUUCUUGAACUCUGUUUAUGAAGCCGGGGGCUCGGAUAGUGCCAAGUGGGCCAAUUUUGG
rnacentral:rRNA from 1 species